rnacentral:rRNA from 1 species
AGAGCCUGAAUCAGCAUGUGUGUUAGUGGAAGCGUCUGGAAAGGCGCGCGAUACAGGGUGACAGCCCCGUACACAAAAGCGCAUGUGCUGUGAGCUCGAUGAGUAGGGCGGGACACGUGGUAUCCUGUCUGAAUAUGGGGGGACCAUCCUCCAAGGCUAAAUACUCCUGACUGACCGAUAGUGAACCAGUACCGUGAGGGAAAGGCGAAAAGAACCCCGGCGAGGGGAGUGAAAAAGAACCUGAAACCGUGUACGUACAAGCAGUGGGAGCACAGGUUUACCUGUGUGACUGCGUACCUUUUGUAUAAUGGGUCAGCGACUUAUAUUCUGUAGCAAGGUUAACCGAAUAGGGGAGCCGGAGGGAAACCGAGUCUUAAUUGGGCGUUAAGUUGCAGGGUAUAGACCCGAAACCCGGUGAUCUAGCCAUGGGCAGGUUGAAGGUUGGGUAACACUAACUGGAGGACCGAACCGACUAAUGUUGAAAAAUUAGCGGAUGACCUGUGGCUGGGGGUGAAAGGCCAAUCAAACCGGGAGAUAGCUGGUUCUCCCCGAAAGCUAUUUAGGUAGCGCCUCGUGAAUUCAUCUCCGGGGGUAGAGCACUGUUUCGGCUAGGGGGCCAUCCCGGCUUACCAACCCGAUGCAAACUGCGAAUACCGGAGAAUGUUAUCACGGGAGACACACGGCGGGUGCUAACGUCCGUCGUGAAGAGGGAAACAACCCAGACCGCCAGCUAAGGUCCCAAAGUCAUGGUUAAGUGGGAAACGAUGUGGGAAGGCCCAGACAGCCAGGAUGUUGGCUUAGAAGCAGCCAUCAUUUAAAGAAAGCGUAAUAGCUCACUGGUCGAGUCGGCCUGCGCGGAAGAUGUAACGGGGCUAAACCAU